CGAGAAGGUACCUUCGGGUACUGGAGAGUGGCGCACGGGUGAGUAACGCGUGGGGACCUACCUCUUAGUGGGGGAUAACGGUUGGAAACGACCGCUAAUACCGCAUACGCCCUUCGGGGGAAAGAUUUAUCGCUAAGAGAUGGACCCGCGUUGGAUUAGAUAGUUGGUGAGGUAAUGGCUCACCAAGUCGGCGAUCCAUAGCUGGUUUGAGAGGAUGAUCAGCCACACUGGGACUGAGACACGGCCCAGACUCCUACGGGAGGCAGCAGUGGGGAAUAUUGGACAAUGGGGGCAACCCUGAUCCAGCCAUGCCGCGUGAGUGAAGAAGGCCUUCGGGUUGUAAAGCUCUUUCAGAUG
rnacentral:rRNA from 1 species